rnacentral:rRNA from 1 species
AACGAACGCUGGCGGCAGGCCUAACACAUGCAAGUCGAACGCACCGCAAGGUGAGUGGCGCACGGGUGAGUAACACGUGGGAACGUACCCUUUUGUUCGGAAUAACGUUUGGAAACGAACGCUAAUACCGGAUACGCCCUUAGGGGGAAAGAUUUAUCGCAGAAGGAGCGGCCCGCGUCUGAUUAGCUAGUUGGUGGGGUAAAGGCCUACCAAGGCGACGAUCAGUAGCUGGUCUGAGAGGAUGAUCAGCCACACUGGGACUGAGACACGGCCCAGACUCCUACGGGAGGCAGCAGUGGGGAAUAUUGGACAAUGGGCGCAAGCCUGAUCCAGCCAUGCCGCGUGAGUGAUGAAGGCCUUCGGGUUGUAAAGCUCUUUCGCACGCGACGAUGAUGACGGUAGCGUGAGAAGAAGCCCCGGCUAACUUCGUGCCAGCCGCCGCGGUAAGAC